ACAUGCCUACAAUAUAGCGUUAAUUCACCGGUUCCCAUUAGAACUCCGUAGUUAAGCACACUCAGGCUAGAGUAGUGUUGGGAUGGGUGAUCGCCUGGGAAGUCCUAGUAUUUUACAUGCC
rnacentral:rRNA from 1 species